AACACUGUUAACCUGCGGUACCUGCGGAAGGAUCAUUAUUGAAUAAACUUGGUUGGGCUGUUGCUGGCUUCUUGGAGCAUGUGCACGCCUAGCACCAAUUUUUACCACCUGUGCACCAUUUGUGGACCUGGAUACCUCUCGAGGAAACUCGGUUGGAGGACUGCUGUGCGAAAGCCAGCUUUCCUUACAUUUCCGGUUCAUCUUUUCACAUACCCCAUACGAAUGUAACAGACUGUUGUU
rnacentral:misc_RNA from 1 species